UGCUGAGGAGCCAACUCAGUGCUCACACACACUGGGCAGGCGCUCCGCCCGGAGCCCAGCCCCGCCCCUGCAGGCCCCCAGGCAGGUGGUGGAGCUGGCCUGCCCACCAGGCAGCAGGAGGGCACGGUUCCCUCACACCCGCCAGCAUCAGGCGUCAAGUGGUGCACAUGGAAGGCCUCAGCACGGCCCAGAGGUGACUCCAGCUGCCUGGAAGGAGGGGAACAGAGGACGGGCGUGAGCUGGCACGUGGCUCAGUGUGAGCCCCAGCAGCAUGGCGGAAACCAGGAAGGGAGGGCCAGCUCCCCACUGGCUGCAGAGAGGCAGAUAAUGAGUGUGUAUCCCGCCGUCUCCAGGGAGGAAGGACAGCCCCAGGUCCCCAGCGGAGGUGGAUAUCUCCCAGAGACUGCCUCCUGCCAGCCUGGGCUGUGUGUGGCUGCAGUGUGGAGCACGGGCCGGGCACACGCCUUCUCUCUCACCACCAUCUACUUUAGAAGGUAAGUCAAGCCUAGAUCUAUCCACAAAGGCUUCCCACGCAGCCUUCUUUAUAUCUGGACAAACACUGACCGCGACUCCCUCACCUGCCGGUGGUGAUGGUGGUGACAGGCGCUGGUCAAGGGCUUGUCCUGUGCCAGGCCGGUCACCUCCGCACGCUCCAAGGUGGAAGCUCCUCAGCUGACUCUCA
rnacentral:lncRNA from 1 species